AUUGAACGCUGGCGGCAUGCCUUACACAUGCAAGUCGAACGGCAGCACGGGUGCUUGCACCUGGUGGCGAGUGGCGAACGGGUGAGUAAUACAUCGGAACAUGUCCUGUAGUGGGGGAUAGCCCGGCGAAAGCCGGAUUAAUACCGCAUACGAUCCACGGAUGAAAGCGGGGGACCUUCGGGCCUCGCGCUAUAGGGUUGGCCGAUGGCUGAUUAGCUAGUUGGUGGGGUAAAGGCCUACCAAGGCGACGAUCAGUAGCUGGUCUGAGAGGACGACCAGCCACACUGGGACUGAGACACGGCCCAGACUCCUACGGGAGGCAGCAGUGGGGAAUUUUGGACAAUGGGCGAAAGCCUGAUCCAGCAAUGCCGCGUGUGUGAAGAAGGCCUUCGGGUUGUAAAGCACGUUUGUCCGGAAAGAAAUCCUUGACUCUAAUACAGUCGGGGGAUGACGGUACCGGAAGAAUAAGCACCGGCUAACUACGUG
rnacentral:rRNA from 1 species